UACGAGGGGUGCAAGCGUUGCUCGGAAUUAUUGGGCGUAAAGGGUCGGUAGGUGGUCUCAUUUGUCUGGGGUGAAAGCCUUGAGCUUAACUCAAGAAGUGCCCUAGAAACGGUGAGACCGGAGUCUUGGAGAGGGUCGUGGAAUUCCCGGUGUAGCGGUGAAAUGCGUAGAGAUCGGGAGGAACACCAGCGGCGAAAGCGGCGACCUGGACAAGUACUGACACUCAAAUACGAAAGCGUGGGGAGCAAACAGG
rnacentral:rRNA from 1 species